UACGAAGGGGACUAGCGUUGUCCGGAAUUACUGGGCGUAAAGCGUGCGUAGACGGUUACAUAAGUCGGGUGUGAAAGCCCCGGGCUCAACCUGGGAAUUGCAUUCGAGACUGCGUAGCUAGGGUGCGGAAGAGGGAAGCGGAAUUUCCGGUGUAGCGGUGAAAUGCGUAGAUAUCGGAAGGAACACCAGUGGCGAAAGCGGCUUCCUGGUCCAGCACCGACGUUCAGGCACGAAAGCGUGGGGAGCAAACAGG
rnacentral:rRNA from 1 species